rnacentral:lncRNA from 1 species
GGUAUGAGAAGAGAAGAAGUUUGAGAGACAACCAGAGUAACUCAAUUUUAAGUCUGAAUUUGAGCGGCAGCUGGACAUCCAGAAUAAUACAGCAGAGCAACAGCGAUGGGAACCUGAACAGAAGAUGGAAGGUCAGCAAUAUGUGAUGAAAUGCCAGCUACAUAUAAGGUGCCUCACGAUUUUAAGACCAACAGUCUGAUACAAAUUUCACCAGCUAACUUCCACAGUGAGCAAUUACUCAACAAAGGCCUUGUCCCUGCAUCCCAGUCGACGUCCUGCUCACACAAGGCAGCUCUCCUUGCUCUGUCGUCAGUCACUUUUUCUUCUUUUCUUCUUGUACAAGACAAGAAGAGACAGAUAUCUGACUGACUGGAGCAAGGGCUCCAGCAGGAAAAUGAACUAUGGGACAAGAAGCAGUCAGAGAAAAAGGGAAAGAAAUAAGGGAGCAAUUGCAGAGGCAUGGUAUUGAGGAAUAGAGUGCAAGGAAGUCAGAUUAUGAGAAGCCAACUGAAAAUGGAGACUAGGAGCACAGCAGGGGAACAUGGAGAAAUUUAGUCUGGAGGAGGCACUCCUUCAAAGAGUUCAAAGCCGUCACAGUCUACCAAAGAAAGUAAACUUUCCUUCAACAAGCAGCCCCAUUGAUUUCAAUGGGAUUAGAAAAGGGGGCAUAGCUAUAGGCCCUGAGCUGUCCUUGAAUUAUUUAUUAUCUCAAAUACUCUAUGAGGAACAAACUGUGCCAUCUCAUAGUGCUGCUCCAUAAAGAUCAAAGUCUUUAGAAAGAAUCCACCUACAGGACUGCAAAUUUUGGAACGUCUAACCCAAUUAUCACUCCACGUGUUACAUGAUAGCCUGCUUUGUCGAAGUAGGUGAAAAGAACAGGCAGGAUUUUAUUGUCUGACGACAGCCAAUAUGGGAAGCUGAAAUAUGAAGACUAGCUGUAACUUUGUUUUUAACAAUUAACAGUAGGGCUUUUUCACCAGACUUGAGCGCUUUGAAGAGUGAACACCAUGUGAUAUAUUGGAACCAUGUAGUAUAUUGAAAAGUGCCAUGAACAAAAGGAUUAGGAACAGAAAAUGCCCUUUGAGCAAAGAUAGGCUGUAGUGGCUCAGGAAGUGAAAUUACAGCCUUGUACCUUUGGAUAGCCAAGCCAAGCCAAGCAGAAGGAAAGUUAUAAAACUAAUGGGUAUGAAAACGAGUACAUUUUUUAGCUACACGGAAUGGAGCACUGUGUGAAAAGUACUGUGUGUCUCUGUGUAGAUUUGAAAAACUUACUCAUACACAGAUAAGAGAACCUCACUCAAAACCUCUUAAUAAUAGGAAGUCUAGAUUUGGAUCGUGGAACCCUUUACACCUUAUAGUGCUUAUUGCCCACGGAAAUCACUGAAUACCUGUCUACUAAUCUGAAUAGACUCUAUAUCAGCAAUAAAAAAUACUCACACUUACA